ACGAACGCUGGCGGCGUGCCUAAUACAUGCAAGUCGAGCGGAAUGAUGAAGAAGCUUGCCUCUUCUGAUUUUAGCGGCGGACGGGUGAGUAACACGUGGGCAACCUACCUUGUAGAUUGGGAUAACUCCGGGAAACCGGGGCUAAUACCGAAUAAUCCAUUUUGCUUCAUGGCGAGAUGUUGAAAGACGGUUUCGGCUGUCACUAUAAGAUGGGCCCGCGGCGCAUUAGCUAGUUGGUAGGGUAAUGGCCUACCAAGGCGACGAUGCGUAGCCGACCUGAGAGGGUGAUCGGCCACACUGGGACUGAGACACGGCCCAGACUCCUACGGGAGGCAGCAGUAGGGAAUCUUCCACAAUGGACGAAAGUCUGAUGGAGCAACGCCGCGUGAGUGAAGAAGGUUUUCGGAUCGUAAAACUCUGUUGUAAGGGAAGAACACGUACGAGAGUAACUGCUCGUACCUUGACGGUACCUUAUUAGAAAGCCACGGCUAACUACGUG
rnacentral:rRNA from 1 species